rnacentral:rRNA from 1 species
AUGGACGCGGUGGAGUCAUCGUCGCCCUACUCCCCGCCCUCGCUGAGCCACAAGCUGAGGACGACCGUCUGCGGCUGCUUUGGAUCACCAUCCUCACCGGGCAGCGGCGCCGAGGCCAGGUGGAGGCGGCGCGUGGCGGCCGCGGGGGAGUUCAAGUACGACCCUCUCAGCUACGCGCUCAACUUCGACGACGGCGGCAGCGACGACGGCACGGAAGCAGAGGAUGCGGCCUUCCGGCACAGAAACUUCAACUCGCGCCUCCCUCCCUCGCCGGUGUCGGCCUCCCGAGCGCCAUCACCUAAAGUCCUGAAUCAGGAUGGACACAGUCCGGGCCGGUCCGGUCCCGGUCCGAGCCCUCGUUUGGACCGGCCGUCGGCGGUCCGAGCCGGACCGGACCGAGCAGUGCGGCGGUCUUGA